rnacentral:rRNA from 1 species
CAGGCCUAACAAUGCAAGUCGAACGGCAGCACGGGAGCUUGCUCCUGGUGGCGAGUGGCGACGGGUGAGUAACGCGUAGGAAUCUGCCUGGUAGUGGGGGACAACUUGGGAAACUCAAGCUAAUACCGCAUACGCCCUACGGGGGAAAGCGGAGGAUCUCGGACUUCGCGCUAUCAGAUGAGCCUGCGUAGGAUUAGCUUGUUGGUGGGUAAAGGCUCACCAAGGCGACGAUCCUUAGCUGGUCUGAGAGGAUGAUAGCCACACUGGGACUGAGACACGGCCCAGACUCCUACGGGAGGCAGCAGGGGGAAUAUUGGACAAUGGGCGAAAGCCUGAUCCAGCAAUGCCGCGUGUUGAAGAAGGCCUGCGGGUUGUAAAGCACUUUCAGUAGCGAGGAAAAGCUAUGGUUAAUACCCAUUGGUCUUGACGUUAACUACAGAAGAAGCACCGGCAACUCCGUGCCAGCAGCCGCGGUAAU